rnacentral:rRNA from 1 species
GGAUGCCUGAACCUGCAAGUCNGACGGGUGCUAAUUGCCCGCAAGGGUGAUUAGCGCUAGUGGCGGACGGGUGAGUAACACGUGGGCAACCUGCCUGAGAGUGCGGAAUAACCCUGCGAAAGCAGAGCUAAUACUGCAUGUGGUUGUCGGAUGGCAUCAUCUGACAACUAAAGUCGCAAGACGCUCUCAGAUGGGCCCGCGGCCUAUUAGCUAGUUGGUGAGGUGACGGCCCACCAAGGCGAUGAUGGGUAGCUGGUCUGAGAGGACGGACAGCCACACUGGGACUGAGACACGGCCCAGACUCCUACGGGAGGCAGCAGUGAGGAAUUUUCCGCAAUGGGCGAAAGCCUGACGGAGCAACGCCGCGUGAGGGAUGAAGUCUCUAGGGAUGUAAACCUCUGUUGGGUGGGACGAAGAUCUGACGGUACCACCUGAGGAAGCCCCGGCUAACUACGUGCCAGCAGCCGCGGUAAUACGUAGGGGGCGAGCGUUAUCCGGAUUUACUGGGUGUAAAGAGCGCGUAGGCGGUUCCGUAAGUUGGUUGUGAAAGUUCGAGGCUCAACCUCGAAACUGCGUCCAAUACUGCGGGGCUGGAGUGCAAGAGAGGCAAGUGGAUUUCCAGUGUAGUAGUGAAAUGCGUAAAUAUCUGGAAGAACACAAGUGGCGAAAGCGGCUUGCUAGCUUGUAACUGACGCUGAAGGGCGAAAGCUAAGGGGAACGAACGGGAUUAAAUACCCCGGUAGUCCUAGCCCUAAACUAUGUUCACUAGGUGUGGGUGGUAAUGAACCCAUCCNUGCCCCACCUAACGCAUUAAGUGAACCCCCCGGGGAAGUACGGCCCCCGGGUUAAAAAUCAAAGGAAUUAGCGGGGGCCCACUUAAACAGGCGAACCUGG